UCCACCACUACUGCUUUCUGCUGACACAGAAAGCAGCAGUGGUGCUUCAAGUCUUAGUAUAGAAAAAAAAUGCCCCCCGAAAAACAAAAAACAAAACAAAAAACAAAAACAAAAAAACAAGGGUUCAGAUCCUUUCCCGAGACAUGUUGGAUUUUAAACCAUCCUAAAACACACAUGACAGUCAAAGCGCUUUGAAUGACUUCUUGACAGCCACCUUUCCUCUGAGACCAUUUCUGAUGAGGCUGCAGAGAACAAGUAAGUCAAAACUUUUCGGUGGAUGACAGCGCUGGAUUGCAAGCAGGCUAGACUCCUUCUGUGCAGAGCCACGCUAAUGUAAGAAGUGUAGUUUUAAUUUUGAGAUUGUCCUGCUGAAAAAUGCUAGCCCUUGUCUGAAUC